AUAAGCACUGGAAACGGGUGUCUAAUACUGGAUACGACCUAUCACCGCAUGGUGUGUGGGUGGAAAGAUUUAUCGGUUUUGGAUGGACUCGCGGCCUAUCAGCUAGAUGGUGAGGUAAUGGCUCACCAUGGCGACGACGGGUAGCCGGCCUGAGAGGGUGACCGGCCACACUGGGACUGAGACACGGCCCAGACUCCUACGGGAGGCAGCAGUGGGGAAUAUUGCACAAUGGGCGCAAGCCUGAUGCAGCAACGCCGCGUGAGGGAUGACUGCCUUCGGGUUGUAAACCUCUUUUAGUAGGGAAGAAGCGAGAGUGACGGUACCUGCAGAAAAAGCACCGGCUAACUACGUGCCAGCAGCCGCGGUAAUACGUAGGGUGCAAGCGUUGUCCGGAAUUAUUGGGCGUAAAGAGCUCGUAGGCGGCUUGUCGCGUCUGCUGUGAAAUCCCGGGGCUCAACCCCGGGCCUGCAGUGGGUACGGGCAAGCUAGAGUGCGGUAGGGGAGAUUGGAAUUCCUGGUGUAGCGGUGGAAUGCGCAGAUAUCAGGAGGAACACCCGAUGGCGAAGGCAGAUCUCUGGGCCCGCUACUGACGCUGAGGAGCGAAAGCAUGGGGAGCGAACAGGAUUAGAUACCCUGGUAGUCCAUGCCGUAAACGUUGGGAACUAGAUGUAGGGCCUGUUCCACGGGUUCUGUGUCGUAGCUAACGCAUUAAGUUCCCCGCCUGGGGAGUACGGCCGCAAGGCUAAAACUCAAAGGAAUUGACGGGGGCCCGCACAAGCGGCGGAGCAUGCGGAUUAAUUCGAUGCAACGCGAAGAACCUUACCAAGGCUUGACAUAACCGAGAACGGGCGAGAGAUCGUCAACUCUUUGGACACUCGGUUACAGGUGGUGCAUGGUUGUCGUCA
rnacentral:rRNA from 1 species